rnacentral:lncRNA from 1 species
GGACGGGCCCGUCGUUCGGCAGAAAUGGAUUCUCUACCAAGGCUGCCCAGCGUUUGGACUUUGCUGUUCUCCGGCUUCUGGCAUUUAGGAUUAACAGCUACCAAUUGUGUUUAUGAAAUGGCCAUUGUUCAUGUGCUUCCCCAUACAUUUAUGGAAGCCUGGUGAUUAAACUGUUGAUGGGAAAAAGAAUGAAGAUCACUGCCCACAAAGCUCCAGAGAAAAAUAACACAGG